UACGUAGGGUGCAAGCGUUAAUCGGAAUUACUGGGCGUAAAGCGUGCGCAGGCGGUUGUGCAAGACAGAUGUGAAAUCCCCGGGCUUAACCUGGGAAUUGCAUUUGUGACUGUACGGCUAGAGUGUGUCAGAGGGGGUAGGAAUUCCACGUGUAGCAGUGAAAUGCGUAGAGAUGUGGAGGAAUACCGAUGGCGAAGGCAGCCCCUGGGAUAACACUGACGCUCAUGCACGAAAGCGUGGGGAGCAAACAGG
rnacentral:rRNA from 1 species